rnacentral:rRNA from 1 species
UACGUAGGGUGCGAGCGUUGUCCGGAAUUAUUGGGCGUAAAGGGCUCGUAGGCGGUUUGUCGCGUCUGCCGUGAAAACCCGAGGCUUAACCUCGUGGCUUGCGGUGGAUACGGGCAGACUAGAGGUAGGUAGGGGAGAAUGGAAUUCCCGGUGUAGCGGUGAAAUGCGCAGAUAUCGGGAGGAACACCGGUGGCGAAGGCGGCCUUCUGGUCGGAUACUGACGCUAAAACGCGAAAGCGUGGGGAGCAAACAGG